UGAUAUAGCUCAGUCGGUAGAGCAGCUCAUUCGUAAUGAGCAGGUCGUCGGUUCGAGUCCGACUCUCA
rnacentral:tRNA from 1 species